GGUCAAGUGAAGAAGCGCAUACGGUGGAUGCCUUGGCAGUCAGAGGCGAUGAAAGACGUGGUAGCCUGCGAAAAGCUUCGGGGAGUCGGCAAACAGACUUUGAUCCGGAGAUCUCUGAAUGGGGGAACCCACCUAGGAUAACCUAGGUAUCUUGUACUGAAUCCAUAGGUGCAAGAGGCGAACCAGGGGAACUGAAACAUCUAAGUACCCUGAGGAAAAGAAAUCAACCGAGAUUCCCUUAGUAGUGGCGAGCGAACGGGGAUUAGCCCUUAAGCUUCAUUGAUUUUAGCGGAACGCUCUGGAAAGUGCGGCCAUAGUGGGUGAUAGCCCCGUACGCGAAAGGAUCUUUGAAGUGAAAUCGAGUAGGACGGAGCACGAGAAACUUUGUCUGAACAUGGGGGGGACCAUCCUCCAAGGCUAAAUACUACUGACUGACCGAUAGUGAACCAGUACCGUGAGGGAAAGGCGAAAAGAACCCCGGAGAGGGGAGUGAAAUAGAACCUGAAACCGUAUGCGUACAAGCAGUGGGAGCCUACUUGUUAGGUGACUGCGUACCUUUUGUAUAAUGGGUCAGCGACUUAUAUUCAGUGGCAAGCUUAACCGUAUAGGGUAGGCGUAGCGAAAGCGAGUCUUAAUAGGGCGUUUAGUCGCUGGGUAUAGACCCGAAACCGGGCGAUCUAUCCAUGAGCAGGUUGAAGGUUAGGUAACACUGACUGGAGGACCGAACCCACUCCCGUUGAAAAGGUAGGGGAUGACUUGUGGAUCGGAGUGAAAGGCUAAUCAAGCUCGGAGAUAGCUGGUUCUCCUCGAAAGCUAUUUAGGUAGCGCCUCAUGUAUCACUCUGGGGGGUAGAGCACUGUUUCGGCUAGGGGGUCAUCCCGACUUACCAAACCGAUGCAAACUCCGAAUACCCAGAAGUGCCGAGCAUGGGAGACACACGGCGGGUGCUAACGUCCGUCGUGAAAAGGGAAACAACCCAGACCGCCAGCUAAGGUCCCAAAGUUGUGGUUAAGUGGUAAACGAUGUGGGAAGGCUUAGACAGCUAGGAGGUUGGCUUAGAAGCAGCCAUCCUUUAAAGAAAGCGUAAUAGCUCACUAGUCGAGUCGGCCUGCGCGGAAGAUGUAACGGGGCUCAAACCACACACCGAAGCUGCGGGUGUCACGUAAGUGACGCGGUAGAGGAGCGUUCUGUAAGCCUGUGAAGGUGAGUUGAGAAGCUUGCUGGAGGUAUCAGAAGUGCGAAUGCUGACAUGAGUAACGACAAUGGGUGUGAAAAACACCCACGCCGAAAGACCAAGGGUUCCUGCGCAACGUUAAUCGACGCAGGGUUAGUCGGUUCCUAAGGCGAGGCUGAAAAGCGUAGUCGAUGGGAAACAGGUUAAUAUUCCUGUACUUCUGGUUACUGCGAUGGAGGGACGGAGAAGGCUAGGCCAGCUUGGCGUUGGUUGUCCAAGUUUAAGGUGGUAGGCUGAAAUCUUAGGUAAAUCCGGGGUUUCAAGGCCGAGAGCUGAUGACGAGUCGUCUUUUAGAUGACGAAGUGGUUGAUGCCAUGCUUCCAAGAAAAGCUUCUAAGCUUCAGGUAACCAGGAACCGUACCCCAAACCGACACAGGUGGUCGGGUAGAGAAUACCAAGGCGCUUGAGAGAACUCGGGUGAAGGAACUAGGCAAAAUGGCACCGUAACUUCGGGAGAAGGUGCGCCGGCUAGGGUGAAGGAUUUACUCCGUAAGCUCUGGCUGGUCGAAGAUACCAGGCCGCUGCGACUGUUUAUUAAAAACACAGCACUCUGCAAACACGAAAGUGGACGUAUAGGGUGUGACGCCUGCCCGGUGCCGGAAGGUUAAUUGAUGGGGUUAGCGCAAGCGAAGCUCUUGAUCGAAGCCCCGGUAAACGGCGGCCGUAACUAUAACGGUCCUAAGGUAGCGAAAUUCCUUGUCGGGUAAGUUCCGACCUGCACGAAUGGCGUAACGAUGGCGGCGCUGUCUCCACCCGAGACUCAGUGAAAUUGAAAUCGCUGUGAAGAUGCAGUGUAUCCGCGGCUAGACGGAGAGACCCCGUGAACCUUUACUGUAGCUUUGCACUGGACUUUGAGCCUGCUUGUGUAGGAUAGGUGGGAGGCUUUGAAGCGUGGACGCCAGUUCGCGUGGAGCCAUCCUUGAAAUACCACCCUGGCAUGCUUGAGGUUCUAACUCUGGUCCGUGAUCCGGAUCGAGGACAGUGUAUGGUGGGCAGUUUGACUGGGGCGGUCUCCUCCUAAAGAGUAACGGAGGAGUACGAAGGUGCGCUCAGACCGGUCGGAAAUCGGUCGCAGAGUAUAAAGGCAAAAGCGCGCUUGACUGCGAGACAGACACGUCGAGCAGGUACGAAAGUAGGUCUUAGUGAUCCGGUGGUUCUGUAUGGAAGGGCCAUCGCUCAACGGAUAAAAGGUACUCCGGGGAUAACAGGCUGAUACCGCCCAAGAGUUCAUAUCGACGGCGGUGUUUGGCACCUCGAUGUCGGCUCAUCACAUCCUGGGGCUGAAGCCGGUCCCAAGGGUAUGGCUGUUCGCCAUUUAAAGUGGUACGCGAGCUGGGUUUAGAACGUCGUGAGACAGUUCGGUCCCUAUCUGCCGUGGACGUUUGAGAUUUGAGAGGGGCUGCUCCUAGUACGAGAGGACCGGAGUGGACGAACCUCUGGUGUUCCGGUUGUCACGCCAGUGGCAUUGCCGGGUAGCUAUGUUCGGAAAAGAUAACCGCUGAAAGCAUCUAAGCGGGAAACUUGCCUCAAGAUGAGAUCUCACUGGGAACUUGAUUCCCCUGAAGGGCCGUCGAAGACUACGACGUUGAUAGGCUGGGUGUGUAAGCGUUGUGAGGCGUUGAGCUAACCAGUACUAAUUGCCCGUGAGGCUUGACCAU
rnacentral:rRNA from 1 species